UGCAGUCGAACGAUGAAGGGAAGCUUGCUUUCUGGAUUAGUGGCGAACGGGUGAGUAACACGUGAGUAACCUGCCCUUGACUCUGGGAUAAGCACUGGAAACGGUGUCUAAUACCGGAUACGAACUUCCACCGCAUGGUGAGGGGUUGGAAAGAAUUUUGGUCAAGGAUGGACUCGCGGCCUAUCAGCUAGUUGGUGAGGUAAUGGCUCACCAAGGCGACGACGGGUAGCCGGCCUGAGAGGGUGACCGGCCACACUGGGACUGAGACACGGCCCAGACUCCUACGGGAGGCAGCAGUGGGGAAUAUUGCACAAUGGGCGCAAGCCUGAUGCAGCAACGCCGCGUGAGGGACGAAGGCCUUCGGGUUGUAAACCUCUUUUAGUAGGGAAGAAGCGUAAAAGUGACGGUACCUGCAGAAAAAGCACCGGCUAACUACGUGCCAGCAGCCGCGGUAAUACGUAGGGUGCAAGCGUUAUCCGGAAUUAUUGGGCGUAAAGAGCUCGUAGGCGGUUUGUCGCGUCUGCUGUGAAAUCUGGGGGCUCAACCCCCAGCCUGCAGUGGGUACGGGCAGACUAGAGUGCGGUAGGGGAGAUUGGAAUUCCUGGUGUAGCGGUGGAAUGCGCAGAUAUCAGGAGGAACACCAAUGGCGAAGGCAGAUCUCUGGGCCGUAACUGACGCUGAGGAGCGAAAGCAUGGGGAG
rnacentral:rRNA from 1 species